rnacentral:rRNA from 1 species
CUCCAUGGCCAUAGCUCCCUGUCCGUGCUGACCUCAUCUGAUCUUGGAAGCUAGGCAGGGUCAUGCCUACACUGUACUUGGAUGACAGUUCAGCUUAUAAAAGAGGCAUGGUUGGCGA